GAAUUUUUAUGGACAUCAGUUGUUAUUUCUUAAAUAUUUUGUCAAUAGGAGCUGUACAUCUAUCUUUUUAUACGAAUUUUGCGGUCGUAUAUUGGUAUCACGUCGGCGGCGUCAGCGUCGUCGGAAGAUGGAUGGUUUCCGGAUAAUAACUUUUGUAUAAGUAAACAGAAAUCAAUAAAAUUUUAACACAAUGUUUAUAACCACAAAAGGAAGCUUUGGAUUGAUUUUGGGGGUUAUGGUCCCUAAGGUUUAGAAAUUAGGGGCCCAAAGGGCCCAAAAAUAGCAUUUAUCUAGUGUCAGAACAAUAAGUUGUGUAUGAGUAUUUCAAUUGUUCUGAAAUUGUACCACAAUGUUUAAUACCAUUAAUAGAAGGUUGAGAUAUAUUUCAAGGGUUAUGGGGCAAACAGUCUAGGAAUAAAGGGCCAAAAACAAGCAUUUUUAUAGGACUGCAAAAAUUGAAAAUUUUUUGGUCGUAUAUUGGUAUCACGUUGGCGUCGUCGUCGUCUGAAGAAUUUGGUUUUCGCACUAUAACUUUAGAAUACGUGAAUAGAAAUCUAUGAAAUUUUAACACAAGGUUUAUGACCACAAAAGGAAGGUUGGGAUUGAUUUUGGAAGUUUUGGUCCCAACAGUUUAGGAAUUAGGGGCAAAAAAGGGCCCAAAAAUAGCAUUUAUCUAGUGUCAGAACAAUAAGUUGUGUAUGUGUAUUUCAAUUGUUCUGAAAUUGUACCACAAUGUUUAAUACCAUAAGUUGAAGGUUGAGAUAUAUUUUAAGGGUUAUAGGGCAAACAGUCUAGGAAUAAAGGGCCAAAAAGGGGCCAAAACAAGCAUUUUUAUUGGAUCGCAAUAAUUGAAAAUUUUUUGGUCGUAUAUUGGUAUCAUGUUGGCGUCGUCGUCUGCGUCGUUCGAAGACAUUUGGUUUUCGCACUAUAACUUUAGUAUAAGUGAAUAGAAAUCUAUGAAAUUUUAACACAAGGUUUAUGACCACAAAAGGAAGGUUGGGGUUGAUUUUGGGAGUUUUGGUCCCAACACUUUAGGAAUAAGGGGCCC
rnacentral:lncRNA from 1 species